GGGAACCUUCCAACCCCACUUCCAGGCUGCCGUUUGCUGUCACAGAGUGACGUUUUCAGCAUGGCUUCAGUUCUUUUGCCCAAACAGAGGAAAACUUGCAGGAGCCUCUUUGAAAACUCUGUAAGUCACACAUGAGCUUGUUUUGCUGAGAAGGGCACCAAGACCAGCAAGUCUCCUUUAUUCAUGCAACCAACGUGUUCCGAUCCACCCCAUCAGGGUCCGUGCUGAGUCCGAGGAAGACACAAAAGUUCAGUCGCUCCCUGUUCUGCCUUUGUGGCUUCACAGAGGAGAAUCAUGUCACAGUGUGUUGGUGAAAAUGAGAUGAUGUGGGGACACUUUUCUGUCUGAGUCAAAUUGCUUAACACCAUAUAUGCAA
ensembl:lncRNA novel transcript